rnacentral:sRNA from 1 species
AGCCAAAACCUGCCGGCGUGCACGUCCUCCGCAAGAACACAGCAUCGGCAGGUCCGGGGGAACCAAUUUCCUUCCGGCCAGACGGUCACUGCGACCUGAAGGCCUUGGGGUGAAGCCCGCGCAAGCGGGCCGGGCAACUCCUCGCCCGAACCCGACAGCUAACUCCGUCGGCU